UGAGUACGAGCUGCUACGGCAGCGAAGUGGGUGAUGUCAUGCUUCCAAAAAGCCCUAUACCCGUUAAGGCAUGAUGGCCUGUACCCGAAACCGACACAGGUGGGGUGGUAGAGAAUACCGAGGGGCGCGAGGUAACUCUCUCUAAGGAACUCGGCAAAAUGGCCCCGUAACUUCGGGAGAAGGGGUGCCACCGCAAGGUGGUCGCAGUGAAGAGGCCCAGGCGACUGUUUACCAAAAACACAGGUCUCCGCUAAGUCGCAAGACGAUGUAUGGGGGCUGACGCCUGCCCAGUGCCGGAAGGUUAAGGAAGCUGGUCAGCGUAAGCGAAGCUAGCGACUGAAGCCCCGGUGAACGGCGGCCGUAACUAUAACGGUCCUAAGGUAGCGAAAUUCCUUGUCGGGUAAGUUCCGACCCGCACGAAAGGCGUAACGAUCUGGGCGCUGUCUCGGAGAGAGGCUCGGCGAAAUAGAAUUGUCUGUGAAGAUGCGGACUACGUGCACCCGGACAGAAAGACCCUAUGAAGCUUUACUGUAGCUUGGUAUUGUGCUCGGGCUCGGAAUGCGCAGGAUAGGUGGGAGGCUAUGAACCAUUGCUUGUGGGUGAUGGUGAGCCACUGGUGAGAUACCACUCUUUCCGAGCUAGAGUUCUAACAGCCACCCGUUAUCCGGGGGCUGGACAGUAUCAGGUGGGCAGUUUGACUGGGGCGGUCGCCUCCUAAAAGGUAACGGAGGCGCGCAAAGGUUUGCUCAGGCUGGUUGGAAAUCAGCCGACGAGUGUAAAAGCAGAAGCAAGCUUGACUGUGAGACCUACAAGUCGAACAGGGAGGAAACUCGGCUUUAGUGAUCCGACGGUUCUGCGUGGAAGGGCCGUCGCUCAACGGAUAAAGUUACUCUAGGAUAACAGGCUGAUCUCCCCCAAGAGUUCACAUCGACGGGGAGGUUUGGCACCUCGAUGUCGGCUCAUCGCAACCUGGGGCUGAAGUCGGUCCCAAGGGUUGGGCUGUUCGCCCAUUAAAGCGGUACGCGAGCUGGGUUCAGAACGUCGUGAGACAGUUCGGUCCAUAUCCGGUGCAUGCGCAGGAAUAUUGAGAGGAUUUCUCCCUAGUACGAGAGGACCGGGAGGAACGCACCUCUGGUGUACCAGUUAUCGUGCCAACGGUAAACGCUGGGUAGCCAUGUGCGGAGAGGAUAACCGCUGAAAGCAUCUAAGUGGGAAGCCCACCUCAAGAUGAGUAUUCCCAUGGGGUAACCCAGUAAGGUCACGGGAAGAACACCCGUUGAUAGGCUCUACGUGGAAGCGCAGUAAUGUGUGAAGCGGAGGAGUACUAAUAGACCGAGGGCUUGAC
rnacentral:rRNA from 1 species